GUUUUUAAAAAUUGUCAAUUGUCUUGUUAUGAUAUUUACAAGGGAUUUUAAAAAUACUUUUAAUUGGUGUUUUUUACUACUCUAGGUGCCGACAAAGAGGCAGAAACAAGUUGAUAGUGCUGAUGUUGAUGUUCCAACAAGGAAAGAGGUUAGUAUCUAAUUUAUUAUGAUUUUGAAAAUUUUGUUUACAAGGUAUUUUAAACAUCUAU
rnacentral:sRNA from 1 species